rnacentral:rRNA from 1 species
UACAGAGGGUGCAAGCGUUAAUCGGAAUUACUGGGCGUAAAGGGCGCGUAGGUUGUUGUAUAAGUGAGAUGUGAAAUCCCUGGGCUUAACCUAGGAAUUGCAUCUUAAACUGUGUGACUAGAGUACUGUAGAGGGUAGUGGAAUUUCCGGUGUAGCGGUGAAAUGCGUAGAUAUCGGAAGGAACACCAGUGGCGAAGGCGGCUACCUGGACAGAUACUGACACUGAGGCGCGAGAGCGUGGGGAGCAAACAGG